rnacentral:rRNA from 1 species
GUGUCAGCAGCCGCGGUAAAACGUAGGUGGCAAGCGUUAUCCGGAUUCACUGGGCGUAAAGCGCACGCAGGCGGAUGGGUAGGUAGGGCAUGAAAGCGCCUGGCUUAACUGGGCGAGGCUGUCCUAUACCACCCGACUCGAGGACAGGAGAGGGACGUGGAACUGCCGGUGUAGUGGUGAAAUGCGUAGAGAUCGGCAAGAACACCAGUGGCGAAGGCGGCGUCCUGGCCUGUUCCUGACGCUCAGGUGCGACAGCUAGGGGAGCGAACGGGAUUAGAAACCCGCGUAGUCC